rnacentral:rRNA from 1 species
UACGUAGGGUGCGAGCGUUAAUCGGAAUUACUGGGCGUAAAGCGUGCGCAGGCGGUUUUGCAAGCCGGAUGUGAAAUCCCCGGGCUCAACCUGGGAAUGGCAUUCGGGACUGCAAGGCUGGAGUGCGGCAGAGGGAGACUGGAAUUCCUGGUGUAGCAGUGAAAUGCGGUAGAUAUCAGGAGGAAUACCGAUGGCGAAGGCAGGUCUGCUGGGCUGACACUGACGCUCAUGCACGAAAGCGUGGGGAGCAAACAGG